UUUGGGACUUUUGAGCCAGAUCAGAUUUCAAUAUAUCAUUGCCAAUUUGCCUCAUGGAGAGUUUGUUGUUAGUCACAAACACAGUGACUCCUGUGACCAGAGUAACAAUUAUAAACAUUAUGGCAAGAAAAAAUAAAACAUGAGGGUACGAUGUGUUCCACCCUUUCUUUCCCCCAGCUGGAACUUUGUCAGGCAGCAUUGGAGGUCGGUUGGGCUUCACCACCCUUUUGUUGUUUAUCUACAAAUUCCUAAAUAAGGGAUCGAACUCGGGAUGUAGCACUUGCGAAGCAGGUGGUGGAACCACUGAGCUAAAUCCCAGGCCCAUGGUGACUGGUUUUUAUAUUUCCUUCAGUAUUUUAAAAUCUAUUUGCUUCCUCUCUCUCCCCUGUCCCCACCUUUGAGGACAAACUGGACCGUUUGUCCUCUGGACCAUUUGUCAUCAAAGUUUCCCAUAAUUUAGAUUUCAGUAUUGUUUUAUACAUUCUAUCACCUAUAUAUGCUUUCUGUAAAUUUUUAAUUAUCACUAGAGGCAUGAUCCAUUUCAAGCUUGAAUUUUGUCAUAGCUAUUUCAUAGGUGGUAUUAUAUACUUCUAUGAGGAGGCACAUCAUAUGAAGUCUCUUGUUCUGUGAUAUUAACAGCUAUUGGUAACUUUUGCCUAGCUCCAACGAGUAAUUUAAAAAUGGAGAUUGUAUCAGCAAACUGUUACUAUAUAAGCAAGGGUCAUAGAAUCUCGGCAGCAUACAAUAGCAAGCAUUUACUUUACCUGCUAUCAUCAUUUUUCACUUAUCUUGUUGAACAAAGCAAGUUAUUUGGCCAAAUCUAAGAAGAGGUAAAUAAUCCUGCCUCUAAUGGGAGGUGAGAAUCAGCUUCCAAACUAAAAUCUACAUGUGAACUUUCAGACCGGACCAUAGGCAAUGACAAGGCUUUACCAGGCAGGCCUCAUGGGAUGUGAUGUGGGGGGAGCUGCCACUGCAUCACAGUCUCCGGAGGGAGUUACAGUAAAGGACUCAUGCCUUCCAGGGCCAGCCAUAUUUUUGUACAUAUCUACAUUCCUAGGGCAAGCACCUCCAUUCAGAGGUCUCUUUAUUAGGUGCCUCAGCUAAGGUAGUUCCCAGGUGCAUCCCUUAAGACUCCCUUCUUGGGAAUCUUAGCUGAGGCAUUUUUUCUUCACUUUGGCUCAAUACCAUGGGCCCUACUGAGACCCUCUUCAAGGAGUCCUUCCAGCUUAUGAAGACGGCGCUGAAGGAGGACGACAUCCUCUGCUGCCAGGUACUGGGGAUCAAACUUGGAACCUUCCACUUGCCAGGCAGGUGGGACGCAGCUGAGCCUGUUAGGAAUGGGGAAAAAAUAAGAACCAAGAUGCAUUAUGUAAAGAUAAUCCCACCUGUUCAAACACCUACUCUGCCACCGAUGUGUAGUACUAAAGCUGAAAAGUGAAUGGAU
rnacentral:lncRNA from 1 species